rnacentral:rRNA from 1 species
GGACGAACGCUGGCGGCGUGCCUAACACAUGCAAGUCGAACGGGACCAGGGGCAACUCUGGUUCAGUGGCGGACGGGUGCGUAACACGUGAGGAACAUGACCUUCGCGGGGGAGUAGCCGGCCCGAACGGCCGGGUAAUACCGCGUACGACCUUCCGGGGACAUCCCUGGAUGGUGAAAGACAGCAAUGCGCCGAUGGAGUGCCUCGCGGCCUAUCAGCUAGUUGGUGAGGUAACGGCUCACCAAGGCAACGACGGGUAGCUGGUCUGAGAGGAUGGCAGCCACAUUGGGACUGAGACACGGCCCAGAC